GGACAUACAUCUAAAUACUUGAGAAGAGCCUAUUAUGGGUAUUAAACUCAUGAUCUUUAAAAAAAAACAAACCCAACUUUGAAGUUAAGAAUUAACAACACCAACACAAAUGCUAUGAGAAAUGAAUUACAUAUAGAACAAAGAUGAAACUCACUAUGAUUAAUUUUAUUGUCCUCUUUAUUUUCUCUGCAUAUUUUUAUAGACAUGCUUUUGUAGACAUAUGCAAAUAUAUGAAAAUAGUAAUGCUGUGAAGCUGCUCUUUGAGGUAAAGAUGAAGAAUUUAUGUCCACCAAAAUCCAACUUCCUGUUCUUAAAGUACAAAAUAUUUGUGUUUUCAGUUUUAUCUUUCCCACCUCAAUUAUCACCAAAUUUAAUUAAAAGAAAAAAAUAUACUGGAGCAUUAAUCUGUUUCAAUGUAAACUUUCCAUCUCAGAGAGAACCAAGUUUCAGAUUGUAGACCUGUCUUAAAUUGCCUUAUUAUUUGUUUAAUGUAUUUAUUUAUUUUGAGAGAGAGAGAGAGAGUAAGCAAGCAGGGGUGACAGAAAGAGGGGGAGAGAGAGAGAAUCCCAAGCAGAUUCUGGACACUGUCCACACAGAGCCCAGUGCAGAGCUUGAUCCACAAACCAUGAGGUCAUGACCUGAGCUGAAAUCAAGAGUCUGACACCUAACUGACUGAGCCACUCAGCACCCUCCCUUAAACUGCCUUUCUAUCUGUUGCAAGAAGUUUCACAAUGAAAGGAAAGUCUUGGAAAAGUCGUGAUGGGUGAAUGGUUAUCAGAACUUGUUUCAGUUAUUCUCAUUGUCGUAUACAUUGGUGCAGGUGAACCAAGUUGGAAUGAAAAAAUGACUAUAUGCUGGUAGCAUGAGUUCAUUCAGAACUGGGGAUCUGAGCAGCUUCCACUGUGAUGCUACAGAUAUGACUAUGAUAAAUGUCCUGGGUGCGCUCGAAGGCAGAAGUGAGGAGAUGGAUGGAUGGAGAGGAAAUGAAAUAGAAGAUCCACAGUAGACUACAGAAGCUGACUCUAGAAAAGGGUAGAAGAUGACAUUUUGAAGGUAGAAAAUGCAUUAAAAGAAUGGAAAGUAUCUCUUUCUCUAUCUUCCCUGCCCUACAUCUCUCUAGCUAUCCAUCUAUCAUCUUGUAUCUGUGUAUCUAUGCAUGGGUGUGUAUGACAUAUUAAGUAAGAAAAAUAACUAAGGCAACGUAACUUUCCCUAAUAGGGUAUUAAACUUUGAAGAGUUGGUUUAAGUGCAGAGUCGUAACUAAUUGAAAUUAGUAUAUCAGCUCUGGUAAAACAAAUUUGACAGGAAAAUUGGGACUAGCAAAUAUUUCUUUUAAUAUAUAAAACUUCAAAAUAAAUAAAUUAGAACCCGAAUUAUGAUGAACAUUGCCCCAGCCAUUGCUUGUUAAAUAUAUCACCAUUACCUCAGGGAAAUAUUUCAAAAAUUUCAUUCAUUCAGUCAAACGCUACCUUUGUAAUUCUUGUUAUGUAAGUUUGCCAUGUCACAAGUAUUACUGACUUCUUUAUAAUAUUUUUAGAUCAAUUUUAAUUUGAAUUAGAAUUUUUAAAAGUAGUUUCUUCCUACACAAGGAUUUAUUUGAAACUUUAAGUUUGAUAUUUUAGUUAUGUUGCUUCUAAUACAGAUACAGUGAAUGUAUAACUAAUAAAUAAUAUUUACCUGUUUAUCUUCUAAAGUUGUGUUGAACACUGUAAUGCAGCCAUAGUUAUUAACUUUGGCAUAGUGAGAAGAGAUAAUUACAAAAACCCAUUAUUUGGCUGUUGCUAAUCUAUUUAGUAAAUAUAAACUUUAUAUAUGUAAAGUAAACAAUAUAGAUGUAAAGAAGUAGCACCAGAAUUCUUAGAGAGGAAAGUAUCUUGUAGUGACUUUAGGGAAGGUAGUGAAACUCUGAAGGUCUAGGCAACAAAUAAUUUGGUUCUCAAAGAGGGGAUAUAAAGAAAGGAGAAAGGAAGAGAGAUUGGGGCAUGAGAGACAGUAUGCUUCAGGGAUGGCUUUAGCUAAAGCCAGGGUAUAAUCUGUUACAGUGUAAAAAAUAUUUUACUCCCCACCUCUCUCUCCCUCUGUCUCUCUGUCUCUCACUCAUUGUGCCCUCUCUGUCUCUCAAAAAAUUUUUUUUAUAGCACAGAGAAUAGAGUCACCAGGUAAUGUAUUGACAAUGGGUUGUGCAGUGCUCUAUGGGAGAGAAAUGGCUCUCUUUCAUGUUACAGUAUAGACUAUUUCUCCCUUCCCACCUCUCCCAGUAAAGUCUCAGUGAAGUCACCACACUGAGUGCUAAUUUGUGUGAAUAAGAAUUAAAGAGGCUGGCAUAGAAGUAUGGUCCCGGAGACACAGGUGAUUAUGGAAAGUUACAUUUUUUCCCUAGGAAUUUCAGGAAAUACAUGAAGGACUUUGGACUCUCCCAGUGUGGAAUUCAGGGGUAUGAGAUGAUUUCAGACUCCUCAGGGUCAAUUACAUUACACUUAGUGCUUCUAUUGCAUAUAGAGUACAUUCAGUUCUCAGCUAGUUCAUUUUUGAUGUUGGUAGUUUUCAUAUUGGUCCCAGAAGAUAAGUGUUCGAACUUAUAGGAAAAGACAAUGAAGUCAACUGGAACUCAUAACAAUUGCAGUCACAAGCCCAGACUUCAGAGUAGGUUGAUCAAAACAUUAGCAUCCCUGAGGAAGCUGUUUAUGUGUGGGUACAUCACAACUAACAGAGCUUCCUCCUACUCACUCUACAGAGGUGCAGUGGUUUUCGGCGGGGUAUUACUGGAAGCAGACUUUGAGACAAAGCUGCAAGCGCAAAUAGCUCAUUUGGAGUGUGAAGUAAACACUAGAAGGAAAAUAAAGAAGCAAGUUUAUUCUCCCAAGGAAACUCAGAAAUGCACUUACCUCAAAAUUAUCCCACCCAAUGGCAAGCGAGCUGGGGGAUUUAUACCCACCUCUUAAGAGUCAUUACUUAAAGAAUAACAGGGGGUGUUAAAUAUUGAUUUCACCAGUAUGUCCAGCCUGUUUCGUGUGGGCCACUCGGGCAUAUUUAGCCCACAGACAGCAGGCUAACAAGCAGGAGUCGGCGGGAGUAUCCUGACAGAGUAAAGUCUGCAGGAUGUGAGCGUCCUUCACAGUAACUAAAUAGGCAAGGUUACCUCCCUCCAAAUGCCAGAAGGCUAGGAAGAAAAGGGAUCAGAAAACCAGCAGACUUUCCUAAGGCUACUAUAUAUCACAGUACCACAAAGUUGCUGGGGUAUUAACACAGCACACACAUGCAUACUAGUAACAGUUGAGUUGGUUGGUCUGAUAUUUAGAUUUUAUGUAAAUGUCCUGUCACACACUAAUCGUCUCCUGACUACAGAAGCAGUUCUAAAUUUGUAUACAAGGUGACUUGCAUAAUCUUCACAUCACUUUAGCACUGCAGAAUUACCGUACUCAAUUUUAGGUGAGAAGGCUAAGGUUGAGUAUGGAAAUGGUUCCAUGAUCCAUAGCAGCAAAACCUGCAUAUGAAGACAAAGGUCAAGACCAUUGUCCUUUGCACUUUUAAAAGUCUCUAUCUUGGGUCACCUGGGUGGCUCAGUUGGUUGAGCAUCCGACUUCAGCUUGGGUCAUGAUCUCAUAGUUUGUGGGUUCGAGCCCCGCAUCAGGCUCUGUGCUGACAGC